ACCCAGACUCCUACGGGAGGCAGCAGUGGGGAAUAUUGCACAAUGGGGGGAACCCUGAUGCAGCGACGCCGCGUGAGUGAAGAAGUAUUUCGGUAUGUAAAGCUCUAUCAGCAGGGAAGAAAAUGACGGUACCUGACUAAGAAGCCCCGGCUAACUACGUGCCAGCAGCCGCGGUAAUACGUAGGGGGCAAGCGUUAUCCGGAUUUACUGGGUGUAAAGGGAGCGUAGACGGCAUGGCAAGUCAGAUGUGAAAGCCCGGGGCUCAACCCCGGGACUGCAUUUGAAACUGCCAGGCUGGAGUGCAGGAGAGGUAAGUGGAAUUCCUAGUGUAGCGGUGAAAUGCGUAGAUAUUAGGAGGAACACCAGUGGCGAAGGCGGCUUACUGGACUGUAACUGACGUUGAGGCUCGAAAGCGUGGGGAGCAAACAGGAUUAGAUACCCGAGUACAU
rnacentral:rRNA from 1 species